GGCCAGGACGGAGCUGGAGGAGAUGGAAGCACCGGGAUGCACCGGCUCAGCGUGGCUGGUGGUCCCCAAGGUGGAGGUGACCCCCGAAGGUGACAGGGAUGACGCAGUGGACCCGAAACUCCACGACUCAGGGCAGUGGCUGGUGCGGAAGGUGA